rnacentral:rRNA from 1 species
AAAUUCUGCCCUAUGAAUAUUUAAAUGGCUGCAGUAUUUUAACUGUACAAAGGUAGCAUAAUAAUUAGUUUUUUAAUUGAGGACUGGAAUGAAAGAUUUAAUGAGAGAUUUAUUUUAUUAUUUUUAGAUUUUGAAUUUUAUUUUUAAGUAAAAAAGCUUAAUUGAUUUUUUGGGACGAAAAGACCCUAUAGAACUUUAUUUAAUUAUCAUUAAUUUUUAUUAUUUAAAGAUUUUUAUUGAAAUUUAAAUUUAAUUGGGGUGAUUAAUAAAAUAAACUUUAUUUAUUAUAUUCAUUAAUUUAUGAUUCUUUUGAUUUAAAUUUUAAUUAUAAGAUUAAGUUACCUUAGGGAUAACAGCGUAAUUUUUAUGGAGAGUUCAUAUCUAUAUGAAAGUUUGCGACCUCGAUGUUGAAUUAAGAUAAAUUAGUGAAGAAGUAUUUGUUAUAUUAAGUCUGUUCGACUUUUAAAUUCUU